AGUGAACGCUGGCGGUAGGCCUAACACAUGCAAGUCGAACGGCAGCACAGUAAGAGCUUGCUCUUACGGGUGGCGAGUGGCGGACGGGUGAGGAAUACAUCGGAAUCUACUUUUUCGUGGGGGAUAACGUAGGGAAACUUACGCUAAUACCGCAUACGACCUACGGGUGAAAGCAGGGGAUCUUCGGACCUUGCGCGAUUGAAUGAGCCGAUGUCGGAUUAGCUAGUUGGCGGGGUAAAGGCCCACCAAGGCGACGAUCCGUAGCUGGUCUGAGAGGAUGAUCAGCCACACUGGGACUGAGACACGGUCCAGACUCCUACGGGAGGCAGCAGUGGGGAAUAUUGGACAAUGGGCGCAGGCCUGAUCCAGCCAUACCGCGUGGGUGAAGAAGGCCUUCGGGUUGUAAAGCCCUUUUGUUGGGAAAGAAAAGCAGCAGGUUAAUACCCCGCUGUUCUGACGGUACCCAAAGAAUAAGCACCAGCUAACUUCGUG
rnacentral:rRNA from 1 species